CAUUUUCCCAUCUUCAGUUUUUGAAAACCUUUUAAGACCACCAGCAUUUCCGUCAAGUAGGAUUGGAGAGACAGACAAAUGGGUAGAGAGGUUUACAUAGUUUGGGGUGUGGGUGUGGGUGUAAGACAAUGGGAGCAGGGACACCAUCCUUCCACCUUGGUGUUCUAAUCAUUCUACCCACUAAGUAACCUUUACCAUUGUUUAACAACAUUACAGAUAGAAGAGAGAAAUAUCUCAAACUCUAGUUCUGGAAGAUUUCUGAUUAGACUAGACCAAUGAAUGGACUCUGUACAGUCAUUCAUACUCUUAGAUAAUAAAAAUAAUAAUAGCCAACACUUAUGGAGUCGCUGCUGUAUUAAGGCAGUGAACCAGAGGUCUUACAUAUAUUAUGUAUAACCUGUACAGCAACUCGUGAGGAAGGUGGUGUCAUUCAUCUCUGAUGAAAAAACAAACUCACAGAGACCAUUAAGGUCAUGCAGUGCCAAGUGACAUACUAAGUUUGAACCCAGAUCCUCACUGUAAAGCCUAUGUACCUUUUACUUUAGAGGCUUGAUCAUGAAACUGUCACUGCCCUUCUGUCUCAGAGGGUUGGAAGGCGUAAUCAUCUAUGUACAGUAUCGUCCACACUAAAGAAGCCCUUACACACUCUGAGCAGCAAUUUUUAGUGUUAAAGGCAAUUUUCGUUCCCAUGCUUAGCAAAGAAGAGAAAAGCUGGAGAUCGUAGAUCCCAUUUCAAAGAUGAGGCCUACAAGACUUCUGAACCUUAGCAGUUGAAAAUGUGCAGUAAUACAGCCUGGUUGAAAGUGUCUGCUGAUGUUCUUGGAUAUUGGGUUGGGCACAGCCUAUACCAGCUUACCUCACAUUCACUAUAAUUAGCAAUCCAGGGAUAUAGAUCCAAGCAUUUGUAGAUGAUGGGUGGAAUUCUACCCAAGUUAAAAAGUCACAGGACUGUCACUUCACAUUCUCUGAACUUAGUCAUGAGGAGAGGGUGAGGCCCGCUUUUCCCACUGGGAAUGCCAGAGAGUCUGCAGCAAUAUAUAGCAAAGGCUCCAGGGGAUGAAAAGCCAGUAAGUAUGGACACGAAUGGAAAAGGCAAGGCCUAUGUUCUAAUGGUACAUAUGUGAUAGGUAAUAUUUAACCUGUCAUUAAAACCCACGAUCUUAGAUUGGGGACCUCAAUUUUAUUAGUCAAGGUGUCUUUACUCUUAAGUGAACCAUGAGUCAGAAGGGCCUAGCUCCCAUAGGUCACUUGAGGUGAGGAUGGGUGACUUGUAUCCUUCCCCAUGUGGGUUCAUGUCCAAAUUCCAUGAAGUCAAUGUUGUGAAAGUUCAAGGGAAGUAAGGCUCUGCCUUCUUAGAAUGCAUUUAUGGAAAUAUGGGUGUACGUGUGUGUAAAAGAUCAAUAGUAGGUUGGAAUUACAAUCCCUGGGUUUAAGUAUUGGGGAAAUCAGUGAAGGCCAGAAAUAGUUUCCAGGAGGAAACAGGAGUUGUGUCAUAGAGGUUGGCUGAGUACAAAUAGGAAGAAAUCAUAAAGAAGGAAACCGAAGAGUUGGCUGCUAGAAAAAAACUUGGGCAGUAAUAAACAUUGGGGCCCUGGCUGCCAGCAGAGGCAUGUUUGGCUUUAUUUCGUUGGUAAUAUGGGUAUAGAUACAUAGUUACCCAAUAAAUGUUGUUUGUUUCAUUCAAGCUUUUCCUAAUUUAAAUGGUUUCUUCUGCCUACCAGCAUUUUCAACUAAUAAUAUAUCUGCUUGCUUUGUAAAGCUCUUAGAUUUAUGCGAAUGAUCCAUUUGCUUAAUAAAAGUGUGAAUAAAAUUUCUUUAUGGGGGAAUAACUGAUCGUGAACUUUCUGGAUAUAAAAUAAGUGACCCUUUUCCAAGUGUUUUUAUCGUCAGCAGAUGUGACAGAGUGGACAUCUGCAGAAGUGUCAGAAACCAGCAGAGCUUGGUUUAAGCUCUGCUCAGUGGCCUCUGGAGGAAUAUUUAUGUAUAAGAGGCAGAUUUGAAAUGGCAGCAGGUCUGGGAAAGGUACAAGCUUUAACUUGGAGGACAUAGCAGGCUAUCUAUAUUUCAGUCAGCUCACAGAAGCAGGAAAUCUUUACCAAGUGCAUUUCUCAGCACUGUGCUAAGAGCUGGGUAUUAGUUUCUCCUUCAAGAAACUUCUAAGUGCCUGAAGAGAGAAGCAUGAAGAAACCCCUUAGAAAAAGACAAAGGGAAAAUGAGUACUUAGCCAUGUAACAAAAGCAAACACUCAUGGGAUCUAAAUGUUAAGCAUUGCAUUGUGUUUACCUGAAAUGGAUAAGUCAAAUUGAAUAAGGUACUGGCAAUGGGCCAUUGGUCCAUUGUUCUAGGUGUGUGUUUUAUGAUACUGAUAAGAGAAAACAACUACACUGCAGAAGUAUAUGUUUUAAGGAUCCACAAUCCAAAAGAGAUUUUUGUUCUUUAGAUUUUAUUCCCUUGGUUCUUAGAUCUCUAUGUGGGUAGAAUAUCUGGGAAAAUCAAUUGAUAUAACUAUAUAGAGUUAUAGUUAUGAUGUGCAUUAAAUUUAGCUCCAAGCCUGUAAUUCUACAGCCUCCAGGAAAGUCCUCUCUGCAGGGAGAGAUUGUUUUCCUGAGUCCAUCAAAGAAUCGCAUGCAUGAGAGCUGAUAAAUUUUUCUUACAUUAAAAAGGUUAUUUGAGAAAGGCUUGCAAAAUUAGCACAAACCUGAUGGCCAAGCAUUGAAUAACAUUAGUUUUAAGAUAAUCAGGUACAAGGGAAGUGAGAGUUUUAAUAAAAGUGGAAAGCCAUAGCCCUGACAUUGCUGUUAUUUUGGGCUGCUAUGGAUGAAAGCCCAAUGGAUGACUCAUUGUGACCACUGGUCAGAUAGGGAGAGAACAAGUAUUUCAGGGUGACAUAUCUGAAAAGUGGCUUGAAAUGACUUUUGCUUCUGAAUCCCCAGCUUCUCACUGGGUACCCAAGCAUCGUCUCUCUCUAUAAAGGAAUAAAACAAAGAUGUAGGAAGAGAAAGACCUCCACCAGAAUGGGGAAGGGAUUGGUGAAGAGGAAGGGGAGGGAGUAGAAUCUAGACUUGAUUUCAGUUGAUGUGUGUGUGUGUGUGUGUGUGUGUGUGUGUGUGUGUAUGAUACCAAUGUGGUGUUUAGUGCAGGGCAUUUUUUUUUUAAAGGAAUAAUUUGGCCUCCCGCCUCAUCUCACCCUCCACCUCAAGCCUCAGACCUAAGAAUGAACCCUCUGAAUAUUGGACAGUUAAAAAGGGAAAAGUGGUAAAAAAAAAAAAAAAAAAAACUUCAAUAGAACUCAGGACAACAGAUAAAAACCAAGCAAAAAGAUAAUUUGACUAUUUGAUGAAAUGUGUAUGGGGUGUGAAAAACCUGUCUGCUUUGUAAUUCAUGACAAAAUAUAUAUCUCAAGUCAAUCUAUUUUUAGCACAUAGGAAAUAAAAGAUGCAAGAAUGGCUAACAAUAAAGUUCUCUUCUCAGCAAG
rnacentral:lncRNA from 1 species